rnacentral:rRNA from 1 species
AGAAUGAACGCUGGCGGCGCGCCUAAUACAUGCAAGUCGAGCGAGAAGACGUAGCAAUACGUUUGUAAAGCGGCGAACGGGUGAGGAAUACAUGGGUAACCUACCCUCGAGUGGGGAAUAACUAGCCGAAAGGUUAGCUAAUACCGCGUACGCUUCUUGGACUUCGGUUCAGGGAGGAAAGCGAUGCCAAGGGUAUCGCGCUCUUGGAUGGGCUCAUGUCCUAUCAGCUUGUUGGUGAGGUAACGGCUCACCAAGGCUUCGACGGGUAGCUGGUCUGAGAGGACGAUCAGCCACACUGGCACUGCGACACGGGCCAGACUCCUACGGGAGGCAGCAGUAAGGAAUAUUGCGCAAUGGGCGAAAGCCUGACGCAGCGACGCCGCGUGGGGGAUGAAGGUCUCGGAUUGUAAACCCCUUUCGGAGGAAGAUGGAAUGGGUAACCCAGUUCGGACGGUACCUCCAGAAGCAGCCACGGCUAACUUCGUGCCAGCAGCCGCGGUAA